rnacentral:rRNA from 1 species
UUCUGGUUGAUCCUGCCAGACCUGACUGCUAUCGGAUUGAUACUAAGCCAUGCGAGUCGUUGUAGCAAUACAAGGCAUACGGCUCAGUAACGCGUAGUCAACCUAACCUAUGGACGGGAAUAACCUCGGGAAACUGAGAAUAAUGCCCGAUAGAACAUUAUGCCUGGAAUGGUUUAUGUUCCAAAUGAUUUAUCGCCAUAGGAUGGGACUGCGGCCUAUCAGUUUGUUGGUGAGGUAAUGGCCCACCAAGACUAUUACAGGUACGGGCUCUGAGAGGAGUAGCCCGGAGAUGGGUACUGAGACACGGACCCAGGCCCUAUGGGGCGCAGCAGGCGAGAAAACUUUGCAAUGUGCGAAAGCACGACAAGGUUAAUCCGAGUGAUUUCUGCUAAAGAGAUCUUUUGUUAGUCCUAGAAACACUAACGAAUAAGGGGUGGGCAAGUUCUGGUGUCAGCCGCCGCGGUAAAACCAGCACCUCAAGUGGUCAGGAUGAUUAUUGGGCCUAAAGCAUCCGUAGCCGGCUCUGUAAGUUUUCGGUUAAAUCUGUACGCUCAACGUACAGGCUGCCGGAAAUACUGCAGAACUAGGGAGUGGGAGAGGUAGACGGUACUCGGUAGGAAGUGGUAAAAUGCUUUGAUCUAUCGAUGACCACCUGUGGCGAAGGCGGUCUACCAGAACAUGUCCGACGGUGAGGGAUGAAAGCUGGGGGAGCAAACCGGAUUAGAUACCCGGGUAGUCCCAGCUGUAAACUAUGCAAACUCAGUGAUGCAUUGGCUUGUGGCCAAUGCAGUGCUGCAGGGAAGCCGUUAAGUUUGCCGCCUGGGAAGUACGUACGCAAGUAUGAAACUUAAAGGAAUUGGCGGGGGAGCACCACAAGGGGUGAAGCCUGCGGUUCAA